CUACGGAGGGUGCAAGCGUUAUUCGGAAUCACCGGGCGUAAAGGGUGCGUAGGCGGUUUGAUAAGUCUGAUGUGAAAUCCUAUGGCUCAACCAUAGAACUGCAUUGGAAACUGUCAGACUAGAAUACUGAAGGGGCAGAUGGAAUUAGUGGUGUAGGGGUAAAAUCCGUAGAUAUCACUAGGAAUACCGAAAGCGAAAGCGAUCUGCUGGGAAGUUAUUGACGCUGAGGCACGAAAGCGUGGGGAGCAAACGGGAUUAGAUACCCUAGUAGUCC
rnacentral:rRNA from 1 species